AGGGCGGGGCCCGGCUCCGGUUGUUCCGCCACGUUUGAGCGGGCGAGCCCGGCGGCCGGGAGACGCCAGGGAACGGGGCUGGUGGGGGUACAAAGGCUCGGUUCCGUCGCCUUCAGCCCUGCGGUGGGGGCACGGGGCAAGUGAGGGGACGGCAGAGGCGGCGUUCGGUGUGAGGCUGCGCCCUGGGCUCCUGAAAAUCCAGGGCUGCAGUCAUUUGAAGGCUUGACUGGGGCUGGAGGAUUUUCAUCCAAGAUGGCUCACUCACCCAGCUGUUGGCAGGAGACCUCGGUUCUUUGACUUCUCCGUAAGACUGUAGACAGAGCUGCCCCGUGUUGCCCAGGCCGGAGUGUAGUGAUGCGAUCUUACCUCACUGCAGCUUUGAGUUCCUGGGCGUGGCACAAGCAGUUCUUGAACUCCUGGCCUCAAGCGAUCCUCCUGCCUUGGCCUCCCAAGCUGCUGGGAUUACAGGCGUGAGCCACUGCACCCAGCUGGAAUGCACAUUCUAAGUUACAAGAUCAAAUAACAAGGGAAAGAAGACUUGAUUAUGUAUACACACACAAAAAGAAAGUGUUAUCAAAACUGACAAGAAAAAUUAAGACUCAUCAAGGGAUAAAAUCUGAAAACUUAUAAAGGAUACUUAUUACAGAAAAAAUUUAAGGGGAAACUGGUGCUGUGGAGAGACCCAUGUGGAAAGGAACUGAGGACUCCCGGCAAAAGUCACCAAGGACCGAGGUUGCUGACAGCUGCAUGUGAACUCGGAAGCAGAUCAAUCCUUGCCCAAGCCCACACUUUGUCUACAGCCUUGGGGAAGAAAGGGUGUGAUAUGUUUCCUCACCCAUCAUGAGGGUCACUGCCGAUACUCCUGUGACAAAAGACAGACAGGAGAGGGGAUCUUACAUGCUGCAUGCAGCAGGAAGUCAGCAGCGAUUUUUCAUCAGGAAAGAGAUAUGAUGUGAACUCUACCAUUGAUAUCAAAGAUGAGCAAUGGAGGAUGGAGUGUGGGCGCACUCGUCCAGAAAGCUCAUAUCUCAAAAGAUCUUCUGGCCUUCUUCCUAUGACCUCAGCUCCAUGAUGGACCCGCUGAUUACCUCUGUCACUCUUGAAAUGAAGUCAGGGACCCCAAACGGAGGGACCGACUGAAGCCAUGGCAGAAGAACGUGGAUUGUGAAGAUUUCAUGGAUAUUUAUUAGUUCCCCAAAUUAAUACUUUUAUAAUUUCUUAUGUCUGUCUUUACUGCAAUCUCUAAACAUAAGUUGUGAAGAUUUCAUGGGCACUUAUCACUUCCCCAAUCAAUACCCUUGUGAUUUCCUAUGCCUGUCUUUAAUCUCUUAAUCCUGUCAUCUCGUAAGCCGAGGAAGAUGUAUGUCACCUCAGGACCCUGUGAUAAUUGCAUUAACUGCACAAAUUGUAGAGCAUGUGUGUUUGAACAACAUGAAAUCUGGGCACCUUGAAAAAGGAACAGGAUAACAGCAAUGUUUAGGGAACAAGAGAGAUAACCUUAAACUCUGACCACCAGUGAGCCGGGAGGAACAGAGCCAUAUUUCUCUUCUUUCAAAAGCAAAUGGGAGAAAUAUCGCUGAAUUCUUUUUCUCAGCAAGGAACAUCCCUGGGAAAGAGAAUAUGCGCCUGGGGGUAGGUCUAUAGAUGACCCCCUGGGUGUGGCCGUCUUUUAUGGUCUGUAGACUGUAGGGGUGAAAUAGACCCCAGUCUCCCAUAGCGCUCCCAGGCUUAUUAGGAAGAAGAAAUUCCUGCCUAAUGAAUUUUGGUCAGACCGGUUGCUCUCAAAACCCUGUCUCCUGAUAAGAUGUUAUCAAUGACAGUGGUGCCUGAAACUUCAUUAGCAAUUUUAAUUUCGCCCUGGUCCUGUGGUCCUGUGAUCUCGCCCUGCCUCCAUUUGCCUUGUCAUAUUCUAUUACCUUGUGAAGUGCUUGAUGUCUGUGACCCACACCCUAUU
ensembl:lncRNA LINC01301 long intergenic non-protein coding RNA 1301